AGUCGAGCGGUAGCCAGAAAGCUUGUUCUCGAUUUGACGAGUGGCGGACGGGUGAUUAAUGUCUGGCAAACUGCCUGAGGGAGGGGGAUAACUACUGGAAACGGUAACUAAUACCGCAUAACGUCGCAAGACCAAAGAGGGGGACCUUCGGGCCUCUUGCCAUCGAAUGUGCCCAGAUGGGAUUAGCUGGUGGUGGGGUAACGGCUCACCUAGGCGACCAUCCCUGGCUGGUCUGAGAGGAUGACCAGCCACACUGGAACUGACACACGGUCCUCACUCCUACGGGAGGCAUGGGUGGGGAAUAUUGCACAAUGGGCGCAAGCCUGAUGCAUGCAUGCCGUGUGUAUGAAGAAGGCCUUCGGGUUGUAAAGUACUUUUGCGGGGAGGAAGGUGUUGUGGUUAAUAACCACUUUGUUGACGUUACCCGCUAAACAAGCACCGGCUAACUCCGUGCCAGCAGCCGCGGUAAUACGGAGGGUGCAAGCGUUAAUCGGAAUUACUGGGCGUAAAGCGCACGCAGGCGGUCUGUCAAGUCGGAUGUGAAAUCCCCGGGCUCAAGCUGGGAACUGCCUUCAAAACUGGCAGGCUAUAGUCUUGAAGAGGGUGGAAUAAUUCCUGGUGUAGCGAUGAAAUGCGUAAAGAUCUGGAGGAAUACCGGUGGCGAAGGCCGCCCCCUGGACUAAUGCUGAUGCUCAGGUGCAAAAGCGUGAGGAGCAAACAGGAUUAAAUACGCUGGUACUCCACGCCGUAAACGAUGUCUACUUGGAGGUUGCGCCCUUGAUGCAUGGCUUCCGGAACUAACGCAUUAUGUCCACCGCCUGGGGAGUACCGCCACGAUAUAAAACCUCUGAUUUAUUGACGGGCCGCCCACACCAGCGGUGGAUGCUGUUUUUUUAUUAAGAGCACGAAAAAGAAUCUUACCUUCUCUUGAGAUCCAAAAAAUUUACAGAGAAGUAGUUGUCGUCUUCGAGUUACCUAUGAAACAGCUGCUUGAUGUCUGUCAUCUACUGGUGUAGUACAUGUGUGAUUACCCCCACAACGACGCCAACCUUUUAUUUUUUACUUGCCAGUUGUUGGGCAGACACUAAUAGAGACACGUCCACGUUUAUAACCU
rnacentral:rRNA from 1 species